rnacentral:lncRNA from 1 species
GUAUAGGGGUAAACAUACUAUAUACAGGGCCAGUUCCAGUACCAUAUUAUAAUGUACAGGGAUACUGGAUCUAUAGAGGUAGAUAUGUAUAGGGGUAAACAUACUAUAUACAGGUUCAGUACCAUAUUAUAAUGUACAGGGAUACUGGAUCUAUAGAGGUAGAUAUGUAUAGGGGUAAACAUACUAUAUACAGGGUCAGUACCAUAUUAUAAUGUACAGGGAUACUGGAUCUAUAGAGGUAGAUAUGUAUAGGGGUAAACAUACUAUAUACAGGGUCAGUACCAUAUUAUAAUGUACAGGGAUACUGGAUCUAUAGAGGUAGAUAUGUAUAGGGGUAAACAUACUAUAUACAGGGUCAGUACCAUAUUAUAAUGUACAGGGAUACUGGAUCUAUA